GCUGGCGGCAGGCCUAACACAUGCAAGUCGAGCGGUAGAGAGAAGCUUGCUUCUCUUGAGAGCGGCGGACGGGUGAGUAAUACCUAGGAAUCUGCCUGAUAGUGGGGGAUAACGUUCGGAAACGGACGCUAAUACCGCAUACGUCCUACGGGAGAAAGCAGGGGACCUUCGGGCCUUGCGCUAUCAGAUGAGCCUAGGUCGGAUUAGCUAGUUUGUGAGGUAAUGGCUCACCAAGGCUACGAUCCGUAACUGGUCUGAGAGGAUGAUCAGUCACACUGGAACUGAGACACGGUCCAGACUCCUACGGGAGGCAGCAGUGGGGAAUAUUGGACAAUGGGCGAAAGCCUGAUCCAGCCAUGCCGCGUGUGUGAAGAAGGUCUUCGGAUUGUAAAGCACUUUAAGUUGGGAGGAAGGGCAGUUACCUAAUACGUGACUGUCUUGACGUUACCGACAGAAUAAGCACCGGCUAACUCUGUGCCAGCAGCCGCGGUAAUACAGAGGGUGCAAGCGUUAAUCGGAAUUACUGGGCGUAAAGCGCGCGUAGGUGGUUUGUUAAGUUGAAUGUGAAAUCCCCGGGCUCAACCUGGGAACUGCAUCCAAAACUGGCAAGCUAGAGUAUGGUAGAGGGUAGUGGAAUUUCCUGUGUAGCGGUGAAAUGCGUAGAUAUAGGAAGGAACACCAGUGGCGAAGGCGACUACCUGGACUGAUACUGACACUGAGGUGCGAAAG
rnacentral:rRNA from 1 species